AGCGCCAACACGAUUCCCACGACG
rnacentral:siRNA from 1 species